rnacentral:lncRNA from 1 species
ACAGACUUUCAGAAGAAGCUGCAGCAGAUACCACAACCUCCAGAAACCUCUAGGAACAUCUAGGAACCUCUAGGAACCUCCAGGAACUCUGAUGUUUGCAGCAGAUAUUUGAAUCAUCCACUAUCGACAGCUGCUGUGUACCAGUGUGCCCGUGCCCACCGACCGCGUGGUCGUCCCCUGCCUGCUGAGAGUUCCUGAGUGUGUUCCUUCGUGCUACCCUU